GUUAACUGAGCACAUGGCUGCAGUGACAUGACCCAAGCAUUGCUGCAUUAACCCAACAUCAACAAGUCACCAACGGCGUUAAUUAUGAAUUCAAUCACAGUGGAGGAACUGCUUUACUGAGUUAAAGUGAACUUUUAAUAGGUGAAAGCUAAAGCUGGUCAGGCAGCUGGAAUAAGAGGACAUUUGUCAAAACAAAGGAGGGAGAGCAUCUAAAGAUUUUAGAAGCUCUGAUGAAGACAGUCCAGAGGUGUGUACUCGCUCACUGUACAACCAAUCCUCCACAAUAAUUAGAGAACUGCCUACAACUCAUCCAGAGCCGCAUUCACCCAAUGCUGUUUACCCCUGAUACUCCAAAAGUGUUUUGUGGACUCAAACACUACACCCGCCCCUCCAUUGGCAUAGUGGUGGAGGACUCUGGGCCUCAUUCUCCCUUCCCAUCUGCCCCGGCACCGCCUUUUUCGUCCCUCGGCUUGCCAUGCUGACAGGCGGAGUUGCCACAGUGAUGGAUGACUGUGCGCUUAGUUUCAGUGUCAGAGUCCUACACCUCUGCUACCUGCCGUGUGGGUCCCUGUCAAAGACUUCCUGUCAGCACACGGACGAGUGAUGCUGCCUUGUCUUUGACUGGCAGAAUAAACGCCGUUACCACAACAGCAAUUCUGGGAGACAGACAACAAGCAACAACAGAGGCAGACAGACACACAGCGACUGUGACAGUGUACAGCAGGAGAGCCAAAGCAGUGACAGUGUUUGCAGAGGUAGUGCGUUGUUUGAGCCCAGCGAUGAUGAUGAGUGAGUCAGGAGGCAGAUGCACAAACAUGAUACUCGCAUGAACGUGACGGCACAACCACAGGUCUGGUUGGUAAAACUCCGCAGGGGGGAUAGUGACAGUGUGACUGAAAGGUUGACUUUGAAUAUACUCAUAACUAGCAGGACAUUGGUGACUACUGCAUUUUAGUACUUGUCAAAUAUUCCCCCCAAAAAGUACAUGCUCAGGUGGCUCACAAUUUUAUUGAAAUAAACAUUAAUAGUGAGUGACCGACACAUUGAUAUGGGAGCAUGAGCUCCCCCAAAAACUCUAUUUAGAUUAUUAACAUCACCCACAAACCCAAAUGGUUAGACAUGCAAAACUUAAUCACCAUGAUGAAAUGCCAUUAACAAUAUGGUAAACGUUAUUCCAAAUUAUGUGCCAACUGCAUCUUGUGGACACGUUGCGUUAAUUUCUGAGGAACUGUCGCACAAAACAAAGACAGGAUACAUGAGGCAGCCAUGUUGCAUAUGUUAAAAGCAAGGAUAUCUCCGGCCUUAAAGAGAUAUUUCACAGAAAAAUGAAAAUUCACUCAUUAUC